GGGCGCGUGGUACAGUGGUAGCACGCUUCCUUAGCAUGGAAGAGGUCCUGGGUUCAAUUCCCAGCGCGUCCA
rnacentral:tRNA from 1 species